AGAGUUUGAUCAUGGCUCAGAGCGAACGUUAGCGGCGGGCCUAACACAUGCAAGUCGAGCGAGAAAAGGGCUUCGGCCCUGAGUAAAGCGGCGGACGGGUGAGGAACACGUAGGUAAUCUGCCCUUCGAUGGAGGACAACGGUCCGAAAGGACCGCUAAUACUGCAUACGUUCCCCGGGAUUCCGGUCCUGGGGAGGAAAGCCUCGCAAGGGGCGUCGGAGGAGGAGCCUGCGUCGCAUCAGCUAGUUGGUGGGGUAAUGGCCUACCAAGGCGAAGACGCGUAGCUGGUCUGAGAGGAUGAUCAGCCACACUGGGACUGAGACACGGCCCAGACUCCUACGGGAGGCAGCAGUGGGGAAUAUUGGACAAUGGGCGAAAGCCUGAUCCAGCCACGCCGCGUGAGUGAUGAAGGCCUUCGGGUCGUAAAGCUCUGUGGGGAGGGACGAACGUCCGGUUGAAGAGACCGGGGUGACGGUACCUCCUUAGCAAGCACCGGCUAACUUCGUGCCAGCAGCCGCGGUAAUACGAAGGGUGCAAACGUUGCUCGGAAUCAUUGGGCGUAAAGCGCACGUAGGCGGCAUUCUAAGUCGGAUGUGAAAUCCCUCGGCUCAACCGAGGACGUGCACCCGAAACUGGAACGCUCGAGUAUGGAAGAGGGUCGCGGAAUUCUCGGUGUAGAGGUGAAAUUCGUAGAUAUCGG
rnacentral:rRNA from 1 species